rnacentral:rRNA from 1 species
UACGUAGGCAGCGAGCGUUGUUCGGAGUUACUGGGCGUAAAGAGUGCGUAGGCGGUUUUCUAAGUUUGGUGUGAAAUCUCCCGGCUCAACUGGGAGGGUGCGCCGAAGACUGGAAGGCUUGAGUAUGGGAGAGGUAAGCGGAAUUCCUGGUGUAGCGGUGAAAUGCGUAGAUAUCAGGAGGAACACCAGCGGCGAAGGCGGCACUCUGGGCCGGUACUGACGCUGAGGAGCGAAAGCGUGGGUAGCAAACAGG